rnacentral:rRNA from 1 species
GACGAACGCUGGCGGCGUGCCUAAUACAUGCAAGUCGAACGCUUCUUUCCUCCCGAGUGCUUGCACUCAAUUGGAAAGCGGAGUGGCGGACGGGUGAGUAACACGUGGGUAACCUACCCAUCAGAGGGGGAUAACACUUGGAAACAGGUGCUAAUACCGCAUAACAGUUUAUGCCGCAUGGCAUAAGAGUGAAAGGCGCUUUCGGGGGUCGCUGAUGGAUGGACCCGCGGUGCAUUAGCUAGUUGGUGAGGUAACGGCUCACCAAGGCCACGAUGCAUAGCCGACCUGUGAGGGUGAUCGGCCACACUGGGACUGAGACACGGCCCAGACUCCUACGGGAGGCAGCAGUAGGGAAUCUUCGGCAAUGGACGAAAGUCUGACCGAGCAACGCCGCGUGAGUGAAGAAGGUGUUCGGAUCGUAAAACUCUGUUGUUAGAGAAGAACAAGGACGUUAGUAACUGAACGUCCCCUGACGGUAUCUAACCAGAAAGCCACGGCUAACUACGUG